UAUUAAGCUAUGAUGAGAAAAGUAGUUAGAUACAAUUUUUGCAGAGAGUCCAUGUGGGGUGAAAAUGGAUAUGUUGGAUUUAACGAAAAUGGUCUUUGAGCUUUUACGAACGACAUUUAGUUCGUAACGGGAGCACCUGAUAUCGUGCAAAGGAAUGAUUAGUUCCGGAUGAGGUAAAUCAAUUUUGAUUUAUAAACUAAGGUGGUACAGCGAGGCACUCGCCCUUUUU
rnacentral:ncRNA from 1 species